rnacentral:rRNA from 1 species
AUACGUAGGGGGCGAGCGUUGUCCGGAAUGAUUGGGCGUAAAGGGCGCGUAGGCGGCCCGGUAAGUCUGGAGUGAAAGUCCUGUUUUUAAGAUGGGAAUUGCUUUGGAUACUGUCGGGCUUGAGUGCAGGAGAGGUAAGUGGAAUUCCCAGUGUAGCGGUGAAAUGCGUAGAGAUUGGGAGGAACACCAGUGGCGAAGGCGACUUACUGGACUGUAACUGACGCUGAGGCGCGAAAGUGUGGGGAGCAAACAGGAUUAGAUACCCUGGUAGUCCACACUGUAAACGAUGAAUACUAGGUGUGGGGGGACUGACCCCUUCCGUGCCGGAGUAAACACAAUAAGUAUUCCACCUGGGGAGUACGACCGCAAGGUUGAAACUCAAAGGAAUUGACGGGG